GUAUUUUUUAUGAUAAUUUUUACAUUCGUGACAUGCAGUUGUGUGUGGAGACGAGAGGAGAGGGGGCACAGGUCCCCCCCGCCAACCGAAAGGUGCACAGGUGUGGAUGGCGUAGCCGGCGUGCAAGCCCGAGGGCGCACAGCCAGCGAGGCCGUGAGGACGGGAACGAGCCCGAUUCACUAAUGAUCCUUCCGCAGGUUCACCUACGGAAA
rnacentral:misc_RNA from 1 species